CAGUCGCCGCGGGAACACGGAGGGUGCAAGCGUUAUCCGGAUUCACUGGGUUUAAAGGGUGCGUAGGCGGAUCUGUAAGUCAGUGGUGAAAUCUCCAGGCUUAACCUGGAAACUGCCGUUGAUACUAUAGGUCUUGAAUUUUGUGGAGGUUAGCGGAAUAUGUCAUGUAGCGGUGAAAUGCAUAGAUAUGACAUAGAACACCAAUUGCGAAGGCAGCUGGCUACACAACUAUUGACGCUGAGGCACGAAAGCGUGGGGAUCAAACAGGAUUAGAUACCCCCGUAGUCCCUGUCUCUUAUAC
rnacentral:rRNA from 1 species